rnacentral:rRNA from 1 species
CCUCCUCUGUUCUUCCUUUUUUCCUAUUUCUCCAUUUGCUACAUCCUGACUCAGCGACUCCUCGUGAGGGAUGAAGGUCUUCGGAUCGUAAACCUCUGUCAGCAGGGAAGAACGGUCACUGUGCUAAUCAGCAGUGAAUUGACGGUACCUGCAAAGGAAGCACCGGCUAACUCCGUGCCAGCAGCCGCGGUAAUACGGAGGGUGCGAGCGUUAAUCGGAAUUACUGGGCGUAAAGCGCUCGUAGGAGGUAUGUCAAGUCAAGGGUGAAAUCCCCGCGCUCAACGUGGGAACUGCCUUUGAAACUGGCAAACUGGAGUGUGUGAGAGGAUAGUGGAAUUCCAGGUGUAGGAGUGAAAUCCGUAGAUAACUGGAGGAACAUCAGUGGCGAAGGCGACUAUCUGGCACAUAACUGACGCUGAGGAGCGAAAGCGUGGGUAGCAAACAGGAUUAGAUACCCUGGUAGUC